CAAUUGCAACUGUGAAAACUUAUAGAGAAAAUGAUUAUGUCCUAAGAUUUUUAAAAGGUCUCAAUGAUCAGUUUAACAUCGCAAAUCAUGAUGAUGGAUCCACUGCCUUCAAUAAACAAAGUUUUUACUCUUGUGGUACAACAAGAAAGACAAUUAUUUCUUAGUGUAAUCCCAGAACCUAAGCCAUUGAUUGCCAAAUCUAACGAAUAAAUGUUUUAAAGAUCUUAUCAUAGACGAGAUACUCAUACACCUUCUUUUCAAGUCAACAAAAGAUACAAUACUCAGAAUAAUACCAAGAUCUAUACUUUCUAUGGGAAAUCAAGACGUACAGAGGAGACUUACUAUAGAAAACAUGGGUUUCCACUUGAUUAUAAGUUUAGAAAUAGCUCCAGCAAUGCUAGUAUUAAUAAUAUCGAGACAACUAAUUUAUCUGCAUUGUUGAUAUCAAUCAAGGCAACCUUGAUUCCUCAAAUCUUUAUUUCACUCAAGAUCAAUACUAAUGCUUACUUGCUUUGAUUCAACCAGUAAGUCAGUCAAUAAGUCAGUCAAUCAAAUCUAAACAAGACAUACACUAUAAAUCAAGUAAACACAUCCACAGCCACAGAUUCUCUUCAUCUCACUACUUCUUGCUCUAAUUUCUAGGUAAUUUUCUUAAUUUUUUGUGUUUUUUGCAAACUAAGAUAUGGAUCUUAGACAUCGAAGCUACUGUUCAUGUCUAUUUUUCUCUUAGUCAUUUUCUAUCAUACUAAAGAAUUAGACCUAUACGAGUCAAAUUACAAAUGGUGCCAUAGUUACUAUAGACACACCGGCACAAUAUAUUUCUCACAGUUUCUCAUUCUUCAUGAAGUCUUAUAUAUACUGAAAUACAAAUCAUUCUAACUCAGAAAUUAUCUCUAAUUUCUGAGUUGGGCGUCUUCUAGCUAAUCUUGCAUUUGUUGUUUCUGUACUUGUGGAUGAAGAGGCAAAAGGAUUGGAAGGAAUGGUUAAAUCUUCUGCUCCUUGCAACAUUUGAACAACUACUUUCAUGGAAGGACGCAAGACUGGAUGCCAUUGAAUGCACCAGAGCCCCACAGUCGCAAGUAUCUUUGCGAUGUUUGCAUCUCCCUCGUCUACAAUAUGGAUUCUCAGGUCUUCUCCUCGCUCUAAGAGAUUAUAAAUCCAUUCUGGAAAGUAGAUCUGGCAAGCAUUCUCUGUCGUAACUUCAAAAUUCUUCCUCCCCCCAACCAUUUCAAGCACUAAUACUCCAAAGCUGUAAACGUCUGAUUUAUGGGACACAUUGCCUACUGGAGUACACUUCAGGUGCAAUAUAUCCCAUGGUGCCCCUCGCUACUGACAUGGAAACUGUGCUUUGAUCCUUGGAACACAACUUAGCCAUGCCAAAAUCUGUGAUUUUUGGAUUCAGAGUGUCAUCAAGAAGGAUAUUAUGUGGCUUGAUAUCAAAGUGUAGGAUUCGUUCAUCACAUCCUUGGUGAAGAUACUCAAUCCCUUUUGCUACGCUAAGGGCAAUAUCUUGCAGCUUCUUCCAACCCAGAAAAUUAUUAUUGUCGUCUGCUGAAGAGAUGAAACUUUGAAGUGAACUUUUUGGUAAGUACUCAUAAACUAGAGCUCGUUUAAAUCCAUCGGCACAAAAACCAACCAAGCGAGCUAUAUUAGCAUGGUGGAUUCUACCCAUUAUGCCUACUUCAUUUAUAAACUCUUCCCCAUUUGGUACCGUGGAGUACUUUGACAGCUACUAGAAUUUCACUGGAUAACUUUCCUUUGAAUACUUUUCCAUAAGAUCCUUCACCCAAGAAGUCCUUGAAUUGGUCUGUAAUUCUUUUAAUAUCGGCAUAAGUAUACCUUGUGGGCUUGAGAGCUUUGUAAUCCUCUAAAAAUUCUUUGAUUCUUUUUUCAGAUUCAUCUGAUCUACGCACAUAGUAGAGAGAAAUACUAAGGAAAAAUAAACCAAGGGUUGUACCUGCAAGAUGAACAAUCAUAGUUAAUAUUCUCUUUAUUUGUUUAACAACCGAGAAGUGAACAUAAGAAAAUUUUACCUAUGACUAUGACUUUCUUUCUCAUUGUUGCACCUGCAAAAAAAAAUGACAUUAUUAGCUAGCAACCAGCGGCGAGUAUAUUUGGAUAAUUUGGAAGAAACUGUGUUGUAUGAAAAGUUUGAAAAUUGUAGAUAUCAACAAAUUAUCCAUUUUUAUUUUUUCUUAAAAAAACAAGAGUCAGAAUAUAUGAUAGACACCUCUAUGUUGUUUGGAGAUAUCUGAGCACUCAAUUUCAGGUUGAGAACUAUUCUGCUUCAACUUGCAUAACUUUCCUUCUGCCUGGCAGUUUGUACAAUUUGGUCUGAUCCAAUUGAAAAUAAGAUUUCCAUUUGGAUAGAGCAUUUGAUGCGGGACUAAAGAAACGUUAUACAGCUUGGUGCAAGACAACAAGGAGGGCGAAAAGGGGUUGUUUAUUGAACUAUGAGAAUGGAAAGCAAUAACAUUAUGUUCAGCAUCAUAAUUACUGAUGCAUGAAAUAUUGUAUAGUUCCCCAGUCCAAGGUGGUUCUAUGGAACAAUCAAAAACUGUAAAGUCUUGUAACUGCUUAUAUUUAAACAGGAAUGGGGAAGCUGAUAAAUUAAUGAGAGGAAGAUACUUGGGAAGGCAACCAUUAGGGUCAUAGGCAUGAAGCUUUUGUGCCUUGUAAUCAAUCAUGGACACAAAAAGCUUCACUGAUCCUGGCAGCUCUAGCACAGUCUCAUUGUUGCUGCUGCAAGAUAUCUCAAAACCAGGAUAGCCACAAUAAGAGUGGCUAUUUUUAAGACGGAAGGGAAACCGGACAAGUGGUCCAUCUGGAUUGCAGUUUUUAGGGCAAUCUGUGGCUGCUCCAGCUGAUGCAAACAUUACCAAUAACAAAACACAGGAGGAAGCGACAAGCAUGUUAGUUAACCCAGUAGAUAUCUCCUUGGAAGUUUUACUCUCAAAACCUUUGUUUUAAUCCCUUUUCCAACAAUUGUAACCACUUCUCAAGCAAUGGGCAGAGGAGUUCCUCUUUGCCUUUCUCUUUCCCUGCACUGAAGUGUGAAUGCAUCAAAAUAUAAAAAGACAUAAUUCAACAACACAGGCAGAAAAUAAAUGAAAUACUAGAACCACCAUGAUACAUUCAUUUGCUAUUUGAUCAAUUAUAUUCCGAACUUUCAUCGAAAAUAACUCCAUUACUAACCGAAACCCAAAAAGCCAAGACCAAGACCAAGACCAAGAGGAUAGAGAGGAGGAAGAAUAAACAUCAUACCAGUAUCAAGAAGCCAAAGGACUUUUCACAAACAUGUAGUGAGCAAGAUUCCUUUGAUGGAACCUUCGUUUAUAAGAGUACUAAGGCUACUUUUGUAAUUCCAAAUACUCUCAUUUUACUGAUAGAUUUAGUUGUAUUUUAAAAACAUCAUGACAUUUUAAUCAACUCUAAAAAGUAUAAUAAUUAACCAGUUAAUUAUGGAGCGAGUGUAAUAAUAAUAAUACAAUCUAAAAUUAUUACCUCUAUAUCUAUUAAAUCUAAAAUAAUCAUCUGGUCUCCAAAGAACCAGAUAAUUUGCAAGUGAAUCAUGAUGAACUUGCCAAAAUAUUUUGUUUCUAGCAUUCCAUGUAGCCGAGCAAAUUGUUACUGCCAUUCUUGCAUUAUUGCCAGUAAAAGAUCCAAACACCGCCUACAACCACUCCGUAAAAUUAAUAAUUGAGGGUUAUACUACAAAUAAGAAACAUUCCAUACCUGACAUGCAAAGCUACAUUGCCCUAAGACAUGGAAGAUAGACUCAUGUGAGGAACAAAGUGGACAUAUAGCUAGUACAGGCACAUGCCAUUGCCGCAGUUUCUUUCUUAUUGACAGAAUAUUAUUCAUCGACCGCCAAACAAAGAACGGAUUUGUGGAGGUAUUGGCAACGUCCAACUCUGUUCUCUGCUUUUCUGGUUCCCUAUCUAUUUAAAGUUUUAUCAAUUAUGUUUAAACAUUUAUAAAGAGAAGAAAGGCCAUGUUUAUACUUAAAAGGUAAAAUAAACCUAGAGCGACCCUUUUCCAAGAAAAUUUUCAAAUGAUUUAGGGUUAUUUUGAUAGUUUUUUAAAUAUAAAAAAAUAAUAAAAAUUACUAUAAGGCUCUAUAAUAUUAAAAAAUUUAUUAUUCUUUAUUUCAAAAUUACUUAAUUAAAAUAUUUUUAUGCUUUUUAAAAUUUAUAAAUUUCGUAUUUUUCUCACAAUGUCUUCAUUGUCAUUCACUCAUAGAUCAUGCUUGGGAUUCAUGCUUUUUUAGAAAUGAAAAAAAAAAAGUUAUCUCUCUAAAACAUAAGAUGAAAUUAGAAUGUGUGGUCCUUAUUUUAGAAAUGAGCCAUUAAAAGGUGUGGUCCUUAAACAGUUCCAAUUUCUAUUUUUAUUAAAGCAAGUCAGGUAACUCAACUUCUGUUUUCAUGUAAACCCAUGUACCCAAUUUCUAUUUUCCUAUUUCUAUAGCAGAAUUCGGUUUAAAUUAAAAAAAUCGAUCGAAUUGAAUUAAUUUAAAAAUUCAGUUCAAUUUUUUAUUUAUUUCGGUUCGAUUCAAUUUUUAAUUUUAAAAAUUUUAAUUAUUUUAAUUCGGUUCGAUUUUAAUAAUAAAAAAAUUAAAAUAUUAAAUUAAACCGAUUAGUAAUAAUAGUAUAGUAUUUUCAAUAAUAAUAUAGAAAUUAAAUUAUAUUAAAAUUAAAAUAUUUUAAUUAAAUUUUAAAAUAUUAAAAAUAAAAUAAAAAAAUUUAUACUAAAUUGAAUCAAAUUGAAUUAAUCGAUUUAAUUUAAUUUAAUUUAAUUUUUAUAAAUAUUAAAAUUUUAAUUUUUAAUUUAUUUAUUUUAAUUUAAUUUUAAAUUAAAUCGAUUAAAUACUCAUCCAUGAACUAAACAGUUCCAUCAUUAUCACGCCACUUUUUAUUAAACAGUUCCAUCAUUAUCACGCCACUUUUUGUUGAAAGAUUUUGUUAAUGCAAGUUGGUUGAGAGGACAAAUACUAUAAUUUUAUAACCAGAAAAAUUUUAACGAUUAAAAAGCAUAUAUGAAUUGGACGGUGAUAAAGCAAAUCUUCAAAAUGAAAAUGGUAUCAAUAUCAAUUUCUAAAAUGAGAAAACUUUAAUAUGCCCUCUUCAAAAUUUGCAGACUAAUAAACACUAAGCAUAUAUAUAAUAUAUCAUUUAAUUUUGUAUUACGAUAGAAAAUUUAUUAAUUAAUUUUUUAAUUUUAAAAAAUAUAUUAAAAUAUUUUUAAUAUUAAUAUUUUUAUUAAUUUUAAUUGUUAAUUAUUUUUUUUAUUUAAUUUUUAUAAUUUGAAAAAAUCUAUUACUUGAUCAUUGAUCUUAUAAAAUAUUUAUUAAUUAGUUUUUAUAUAUUAAAAGCAUCAUAAUUAAUUUUUUAAUACUUAAAAAUUAAAAUUAUUAGAAAAAUUAAUUAAUAAAUUUUUAGUAUAUUUUUUAAAACUUAAAGGUUAAUUAAUAAUUUUUUUUAUAAUAUAUAAAUUAAAUAAUAAUUUUUAAAAUAUUCCUUUUUUUCGAGUAUGAUAUAAUUUGAUAUUGUUUUUUAGUUCGACUCAGAAAUAAAAAAUAAAAACCGUACAUAAUCUUAUAUGAGUAUUUAACACGUGAUUCAUAAUAAAUAUAUAUGUUAAAAAAAUACUAAAUAUUCACAAUAAAAUAUUUAUAAAUAAAAUAAUUAAUAAUAUAAAAAUAUAUAUGUUAAAAAAUUAUUCAAUCCCGUCCAACAUUGAUUAGACAAAGAAAAUUUGUGGGGCUACCUAUCUCAAUUUUUCUCUAUUAACUCACUGGUCUCCAUAUAAAAAAAGAUAAAUUAUAUUUUAAUAAUUGAAUUUAACUUAUUUAACAUAUCAAUUCUUUACUUUUAAAACUUCUUUACUUUUAAAACUGAACAUUUCAAAUUAUAUCCUUGAUGUCAUUAAGAAGAUGCAAGAGGAAGGGUUGUGCAUAUUUAGAUCUAUCAUGGAUCACCGAGUAUAAGUUAUUAACAAGGCACGAGAAGCACAAAUUGUGAGUCUCAAAAUUUGUGAGAAAUGGACCAAGAAAGAGAAGGAAGAAAGAAUAAUAAUAAAAAAUUUUGAGAAGAAGAAAAAGUAACGGAAAUUUUUUUUUAUAUCGGCGUUAAUUAAAACUUUUCACUCUUCUUAUUUUUUUUUAGCGUAUACAUUCAUUUUUAACACUGAUUUGCAUACGCUGAGUGGGCAAAUGAGAGUUAAUUAAUUAUAUUUUUUAAGAGUAUAGAAUGGGAAAUGAGACGUUUUAAAAAUUAAGAGUGUUUAUGAGAUUUUUUUCUAUAAAAUUCAGAUGUCUAGAUAUGUAUUUGGCUAAUAUUAUUUUAUAUGUUUAUUUAUUAAAUUAGAUUAAAGUUAAAGGAUAGCUUUAGUAAUCCAUAGUUUCUCCUCUUUACUACUUCUAUAUUUGUUAGCCUGCGUUGCAUACUCGUGAAUUUAUUUAUUUAUUUAUAUAUAUAUAUAUAUUAUAUAAGUUUUAAUUUUUUCUUUUUGAAAUGAAAUUGGAACGUAAAAUUUAAAAUCUCUUAUGCUAUUACUAAACAUUUUAGCACAGAUAUUAUUAAUAUCUUUAUUGAAAAUUCUUCGUAUAUUAACAUUAGUUUUAUAUAUAAUAGCUUUCACUUGUCACCUAUUUGGCUGAAAUUUUUAGAUACUCAUUGUAAAUAAAUCUUACACUAAUAUUUCAUUUAAUAAAUUAAAUUUAUAUCAAAUAAUUUUAACAUAUUAAUUUUUAUUUAUAAUAAUUAGAAUUUUAAUGUUAUUCAAAUUUAAUAUCAGAAUAAACGAUUAUCAAAAUUAUUUAAUAAGAGUAAAAAUUGAUAAACAAUUAUUUUUUACAUUUAUGCAAGACAAACUUUGUCUCUUUAAUAUUUCUGAAUUAAUAAGAAUCUCAACUAUGCAUGAUGAGGUCAUCCAUCACGUGAAUGAUAAUUGAGGAAUAUGAAAUUUUUGUGGUCCUAUAUGAUAUUGGCUAUAUCUAAGAGAAAUGUGAAGUCACAACUUUUAUAUCAGAAGAAUUUCUCUGGUUUUGUUCCUUGAUCUCUUCCCUCUGUUGCCGCCAUGUCCAUGUUAAUCUCAGCAAUUUCUCUCCUUUCUUUUCUCUUGCUAUGCAGUGUGACUUGUUCUGUUGGCAAGAAAAUUCAUCACUGUGCCCUUUCCUGCGGCAAUCUCCAAAACAUUUCCUAUCCCUUUGGAAUAGUAGGGUAUCCAAGCAAUUGCGGCGAUCCAAGUUAUCUUUUUGAAUGUGAGAAUAACAAGACGGUAUUAAGGUUGUUUGCUGGAAAAUACUAUGUACAAGAGAUCAAUCGCAGCAAUAAAACCAUCCGUCUUGUUGAUGCUGAUUUGCAGCAAGGAAAUUGCUCCUCCCUUCCUCUUUCUCCUUUCACAAAUGAUAACUUCAUUUAUUAUUCCUACCAUUCCUAUCAGUUGCCAGCAUCCUCGGUGAAGAUUACUUACAUGAAAUGCGAGAACUCAGUUGAUUCUACUCUGUUUGUCCAAACACAUCCAUGCGUUGAUGGAGUUUACUCCAACAACAAGAAGCAUUCAUAUUCAUAUGUUGUGUUUGGAGAUUUGGAGUUCUUAGAAAUUCCAAAUUUGUGUAGGGUGGACUUGGCAGUCACAGUUUCGUCAAUCAAAUGUCACGACAAGAAUUGCUCCUACUUGGACGUAUUCAAGGGGCUGCUUAAUGGGUUUGAGCUUUCAUGGUCUGAGAUGUAUUGCAAAGAAUGCAAAUCAAAGUUUAUGAAGAGGGGCUAUUGUAUAUUUAAUGAUGAUUAUUCGAAGUUUUUAGAAUGUUCUAACCGUAAGAAUUUUGUUAUCUUUGUUCUCUCUUUUACUUUGAUUUUUAUUUUCUUUUCAAAAAAAGAUUAUUAAUUAGAACUUCAUAUGAAUUUAUUUCUUUCAUUUUGCAUGCAGAUUUAUUGUGGAAUUUCAUCUACGGUGGUAAAAUGUGUUUUCAUUUUUUUUUUUUUGUACUUUGAUCAUAUUUAUAAUUUAUUGCAAUAAUAUACUUAUAAAAAAUUAUGAUUCAUUUUAUUUAUUUAUUUAUUUUUUGCAGCGUUUAUUCAUCUUCCAUUGAUCUUGGGUAAACUCCUUGGCAUGUGUCCUUUCUCAUUUUUAACAUUGUUACUUUAUUCAAGUUAUAGUUCACAUUUGGGCUUUGUUUAUGCAGCAAUAAGAUGUUUCUGUGGCAUCCCGUGCUUGGCCACAUUUUUUAUUAUAAGAUGGCGAAGGAGGCAUCUAUCCAUGUAUGACGAAGUUUAAAAAUUUCUUCAAAGUAAUAAUAACUUCAUGCCCAUCAUGUACUCUUAUUCAGAGAUCAGGAAGAUGACCAGAGGUUUCAAAGAUAAGUUGGGUGAGGGAGGCUAUGGUUCUGUGUAUAAAGGAAAGCUUGCUAGUGGGAGAAUUGUGGCAGUCAAGCUAUUGGGCAAGUCCAAGUCCAAAGGACAAGACUUCAUCAAUGAAGUUGGUACGAUUGGGAGAAUUCAUCACAUCAAUGUAGUGCAGCUCGUUGGAUUUUGUGCUGAAAGAUCCAAGCGCGCCCUCGUAUAUGAAUUCAUGUGUAAUGGAUCUCUUGAGAAGUACAUAUUUUCAAGACAACAAGAUGUUACCUUGAGUUAUGAAAAAAUCUACGAAAUUUCUUUAGACAUUGCUAGAGGAAUUGAGUAUUUCCAUAGAGGCUGUGAAAUGCAAAUUCUGCAUUUUGACAUAAAGCCCCACAAUAUUCUCCUUGAUGAAAACUUCACAGCGAAAGUGUCUGAUUUUGGACUUGCAAAACUAUAUCCUCCUGGUCAUAGUUCAGUAUCUCUCCAGAAUCCAAGAGGAACAAAGGGCUACAUGGCUCCAGAAUUGUUCUACGGAAACAUUGGGCCGAUAUCUUACAAAGCUGAUGUUUAUAGUUUUGGUAUGUUGUUGAUGGAAAUGGCAGGUAGAAGGAAGAAUUCGAAUGACGCUGCAGAUCAUCCUAGCCAAAUUUACUUCCCCUCAUGGGUUUAUGACCAACUUAGUGAUGGAAAAGAGAUAGAAAUUGAAUAUGCAACAGAGGAGGAAAAGAAAUUAAUCAAGAAAAUGAUGAUAGUAUCAUUAUGGUCCAUACAAAUGAAACCUGGUGAGCGUCCCUCAAUGAACAAAAUUGUGGAGAUGCUUGAAGGAGAAGUUGAAUCUUUGCAAAUGCCUCGCAAGCAUUUAUUACCUCCACCGAAGCUAAGCUAACAGCAUCCUGGGGCCAAUAUGAAAGCACCAAAGUCAUCAAAUGUUUCCUGAAUUUAAUAUGACACAUUUCCUUUAUGAUCUAGCUUUUAAUAUGACAUAUAUCCUUUAUGAUUUAGCUCAGUAUUCAAUUCUGAAAGAUUCUAUUCUAUGCUAAUCUUAUUUAAUAUGACAUAAACUUUAUAGCUGGGCAAGUAAUAGUUGGCCUAAAUCUCUUUUUGAUGAUGGAAAGUGAAAGUAAAGAGAUUAAAAUAUCAAAUAUGUCAAAAGCAUUGCUGUUAAAACAUAUUUGCAAAUGCAUAAUCCCAUUUCACAAAAUUUUUAAAUCCUCAUCUAAAAAAAAAUUGAUAAUACAACGAAAUAUAGUAUGUUAGCAAGCAGCCGAGGAGAGUUGAUGACAUAAAAUAGACUUGCAAGGACUGCUGUUUUCUAGUCAUCUCAAAGAAUGAAAGUGAAGACUGCACAGACAAUGAGUCGAUCUCAGGAUCAGAGAGGCAGAGGGAUCAACUUAGUUUGUACAAUCGGUCAUCUUGAGGGACUGAAAAAGAAGAAGAUGUAAGUGGCUUUGUGACUCACAUGGACACAGUGAGGACUAAAUGAUUUUAGGAUAUUUAGAAAGUUCCAAGCAGUUUGGUCCUUCACUUCCAGGCAGGAAACUGAAAUAUACUCGGUAGUUACUGGAAGCAGCCAAGGUCCAAAGGAAGCAUAGUGCAUUGGACCAGUUUCAUUGUAGAAUAAGAAGUCCAGCUCCGGAAAUUUUAUUGCGAAGGCAAUUGUCUAAUUGAGGCAAAUCCUCCAUAUUCUAGUUAAUACACUACAAGAAAUUGAAGUUUUAAUGACCAUUUUUUAGAGAAGGGCGCCUCAAGUGGUGGCAAUAGUAUAGCAUACUCUAUUUUUAAUCUAGCGCUAGAACUAUGUGAUUUUGUGAAGGGAGAAAAGUACAGUCCCUGAAGAUAUAAAAGCAAUAAAAACAACUAAAAAAGAAAAUAAAAAAAGGAGAUUUAUAAUUUAGUCUAGCAUUGUUAUUAUUAUUAAUAAAUCAGUUUAUUAUCUUUUCUCUUUUCCGUCUAUUUCUGCUAUUAACAAUAUAGCAAAAAAUCAAAUUACCUUCUAUUUUCUCCUCCUCCUUCUCCUUCUCCUUCUCCUUCUCCUUUUCCUUCUCCUUCUUCUUGGAUUCUUCAUCUUCUUCCUCUUCUUCUUUGAUUUUUCUUUUCUAAAAAGGAGAAGAAGGAGGUGAUUCUUCUUUUUCUUCGUUAUCAUCAUUUUCUUCUCCUUUUUCUUCUUUCUCUUCUUCAUAAUCGUCUUUUUUUUCUUCUUUUUUUUUGUUUUUCUUUUUAAAAGAGGAGAAGGUACUAUUUCAUUGACAGACAGAAAUAAUAAAGAUAUUUUAAUAGAUUUAAGAAAAAAUAAUGACGUUUUAACAUAUUAAAAAAAAAAGAACGUUUUAAUAAAUUUCUAAAAUAUAUAGAGAUGAUUUAAAAAUUUUAAAAAUUUUAUUUUUCAUCUCUCAUAUUUUUUUAACUGAAAAGAUGAUGGAAUGACUAUUUUGUUAUCUUUUGCUGUUCCUCUCUUUGAUAUUUUUGUCAUAAAUGUAAUUAUGCUUAGGGAAUGUUAGGUUAUGCUUGUGAAGAUUCAUUCCUAAAUUGUUUGUUUUGGAUGUUCUUAAAGUCCAAUAGGAAUUGGAGGUUGAAAGUGAUUGAUUUUCGUUGCAGUUUCAGAGUUUAUUUGGUUAAAAUGAUGGUUUAACUGAGAUGUGAUUUUAUGUGAUUUGUGGAUCAAGCGAUGACUACAAACCAGAAUGCCAACUCAGAACCAUCUCAAGUACGGUCAGUUCUUGUUGUUUAGAGUGGUAUAGUAAUUGAAUUUAAUUAAAGUUUGGGGAUCUGAGGCAUAUGGACUGGAUUUGUUGCUAUUUACAAACGUUCAUAUAUUUUAUAUGGCCUUUCCCUUUUUUUGAUGCUGUAUUAGACAUGUAUGCUGGAGAUAAAUGUUUCUUUGGAUAAAACAUGCUCUUGAUUUUUCAGUUUAGCUACCCAUCUGAGUUGAGUUAUGUAAAACAUGCUAUGAAUACUGUUGAAUUUUAUUAGUUCCAAUGGUAUCUAUAUAUAUUAUUUAGUGAACUUUUAAAAAGAUGCAUCUCUUGUUACUUCUAUGAGGUUCAUGGCCACUCCAAAGUUGUAAUUUAUAAACUUUAUGCAAGAUUUGGUUGGAUAUCUUGGUAAAAACGGUGGUCUAUUCUCACACGGACAUCAGUGGUUUUCUUCAGAAGUAAUCCAGUAAGUAGUUCUGCAUACCAGCAAUUUGGGAUAUUUUUAAUUUGCACAUGCAUGUCCUGUGUCUAUAGUAUUUAUUAUUGUGAUAUGAAAAAUUAUUCCCAUCCCCUCUUUCUGCAUGCUGGUUGCAACUUUAUUAUUUUAUAAGGUUGACCUAAUAUACAUUUGAACUUUUCAGAGUGCUGUUACUCAAAAAGGCAGUGAAGUGAACUUGACUCUUUGGUGGUACUGACCUCAACAAUUCAGGCAGUUCAAAUUAUUAAAUACAUGUUUGCUUGUCAUAGUUGUUUCCACGAGGGAAGUGAGUUUAGUUUACAUACUUCAUAGUGCUUUCUUUGGAUGAUUUCUAGUGUGAUUGUGAAAUCAGAAACUAGUGCUUCAUUACAUUAUCUUUAGGAACUAGUGCUUUGAUGGGAAUUAUUAGUGAAAGUUAAAUUAGCUUUCAAUUCUAUGAAUAACAUUUUAAUCAAGGGGGCUUGUGGGAAAAAAAAAUGAUAUUAGUUUUGAGUGGUCAAAGCAAUCACCAAUCAAGCAAAUGUGGUAAUGAAAGGAAGAAAUGAAAUUAGGAGCUUUUUUCUCCACUAUCUAUUAUUUCCUUGUUGAAACUUUGUUAUCUACUGUUGAUAUAUGGUGUUUUUGCUUGUCUUAAAGGCUGAAACUUUAGAAGAUUUAUAUGAGUGGAAAACUGCUCUUGAGAAUGCUCUGGCACAAGCACCAAAUGCUGCUCUUGUGAUGGGGCAAAUGGUAUCUUCAAGACCCAUCAGAAUGAUGGAAUUGAUGGGUCUGCACUUGCAACAAGUGCAGACAUUCUGCACUUGUUGCAAGUGCAAAAUAAUGUAUCUGCAUUUGCUGCAUUAUUCUGCAGUACAGAAUAGUGAUGCUCUAGUUACUGCACAAAAUUGCAGUUUUAAAUUAGUUUUUUGGAUGUGAAUAGGAAAUAUAUGAGCUUCAGCUUUUUUUUUGUUUUGUUUUCAAGUUCGUUAGCUUCUGGCAUUAAGAAAUGAACUGCAGAAAGUUAUUUUUGUUGUUUAGACUUGGUUCACCUUUCUUAUUCAGUUAGGUGGGAAUAUCAUUUGGAGCCAAUACAUGUGCUGCACUGAGACUUGCUAGGACGCCAGAGAACAAAGACAAACUCAUCGUGGAAAUUUUUUUUUUUUUAAAGUAAAUUAUAUUGAAACAAGUUUGUAACAAUUAUUAAUUUACUUAUAAAAGACUGGCUUAUUUAGCAAAGUGCAACAAGUGCACUUGCUAUACACUUGUGCACUUGCUGCAUAUGUGCAUUUGCACAAGUGCACAGCAGCCCUUGCCGCUUAUGUGCACUUGCAGCAAGUGCUACUACACUUGCUGCAUAUGUGCACCUGCAGCAAGUGGUGCUUGCUGGCCGCACAGUGCAGCAUUGCACUUGCAGAAAGUCUGUAAGUGCAGCAAGCAAUGUGAAUUGAUUUAACGGGUUUCAUGAUCUAACUCACCACACGGUUGGUUAGUUAGAACUAGAUCUCUCUAAUUCUUAAAAAAAUUAACAGUUGAAAAGUAAAAACCUCCAAGGACGUUUCUUGACAACUUGUUAGCUAGUGAUUGAUUAGCAAACGUUUUCUAAUAGAUCUAAAUCUAAGGAGAGAUUUGGUUGUGUGGAGCGUCUUACACAAUCAAAACUAAUUUAUUAAAACG
rnacentral:lncRNA from 1 species